GGGGGCGCACUGGUUUCGACGGGUGUGAACGUAGUGUUAAAGUGCAUGUCCGGGGUUGGUUUGCGCCCCGGUUAUAAACGCGAACCAUCGCUUAUUCGGCACAACAGAAUACGCACUCGCAGCUUAAAAUAAGUUGCCGUCAAUCCAGAGGAUACCAGUACCACUGAGGCGACGUACCAAUCACUGGUGUAGCUCGCUUAACUUUCCGUCUGUAGGUUAACUUGCGAACUUAAUCAGGCUUGCGGCUGAUAUAGCCCGCCCUAGGCGCUAUCAGCAAGAGGAUAAAUUAGGGGGCUAAGCAUGUAGGACUAGGCACAACGCACAUUCGGACAUGGGUUCGAUUCCCAUCGCCUCCACUU
rnacentral:tmRNA from 1 species